GGUCAGUCCCCGCGUACUUGAUUUAUGUUUAAUUGGUCAGGUCCGGAAGGAAGCAGCCGGGGCAUAAUUUCAAGGUACCGCGGUGCGGUUGGCAGUU
rnacentral:SRP_RNA from 1 species